UCAUCUUAUCAGUAAAAGCCAAAAUAACUUAGACUAAGAGUUGAAAUAUAUGUAACUGUAAAAAAAUCAAACUUCUACCACAACAAACGCACAUUUACUGCAGUAAAACCUUAAUAAAGGAGUCAACAAAAAUAAGCCACAUCUUUGGAGGAUUAUGCUACAGACAAAAUAGAUUGGCUCUAAACAAAAAAACAAAUCAAAGGUUUGUGAUCGGUCCCCAAAAAAAAUCUGAGGGAAAAAUUCUCUCUAACGGAUUGAUCCUAUCCAAGAUUUUCCAAAUCAUGAAAGAUAAAGACGGAAGAGCCUCGUACAAAGACUCUAUAUAAAGACCAUUUGAUCAUUGAAGCGGGGAUCCUUUCGCCAAGCAUCGUUACCUUGCCGAAAUCUCGUACCGACCCAUACCCAAAGCUCAAAAUACAAAAGGUGACUCAGAGUUUAUCCCUAAAACUCUGAGUAAGCCAAGCUAAGCCAUUACUAAACCAAGGCACGCACCAGAUCGGUAAAGAGGAACAGAAACGGAGAGGAUUCGAAGUACACAAAGCAAAGAGGAUCACUUACCAGGACAUUAAAGUACAUAAUAAACCACAAAAACCCUAAAAACUAUUUGUGUGGACUGUUGGAUUUGAUCUGAGACUUGGACUUAGAAUUAGGCAACAUUCCCUAUGCAAAAGGACUUGGCCAAUGCCAACAUUUCUGAAACAAAGUCAUUAUGAAGUGAGCUUUCAUCUGAUGCAAGUAUUGGGAUCCACUUGAGUUUAUCUGCUACAUGGUCUUGAUGCAAAUGUUACUUUGAACCUGUGUCUAAUGCCUUAUUCUGAGCCAUUUAAGGAGUAUGUCAUCUGAUACAUGGGGAAGAUUAUGAAGAAGAUUAUGAAGUUGCUAGCUUGGAUGUGGCUAUCUUUAUUUGAUGCCUUGCUCUUCAUCUUGCUACUUGUGUAUUGAUAUUGCUUGAUCCUAAAGUCCAAAGGGAAAAGUGGGUUUCUAUAUGACAUUCUUGUCUAUUGGAUUGCA